GAUGAACGCUCGCGAUAGGCUUAACACAUGCAAGUCGAGGGGCAGCACAAGGUAGCUUGCUAUCUGGGUGGCGACCGGCGCACGGGUGCGUAACGCGUAUGCAACUUGCCCUAUACAGGAGGAUAACCCGUCGAAAGACGGACUAAUACUGCGUAUGCUCACAACUUGGCAUCAAGUGGUGAGGAAAGAAAUUCGGUAUAGGAUAGGCAUGCGUCCCAUUAGCUUGUUGGUGAGGUAACGGCUCACCAAGGCAACGAUGGGUAGGGGAACUGAGAGGUUUAUCCCCCACACUGGUACUGAGACACGGACCAGACUCCUACGGGAGGCAGCAGUGAGGAAUAUUGGUCAAUGGGCGCGAGCCUGAACCGGCCAAGUCGCGUGAAGGAGGACUGUCUUAUGGAUUGUAAACUUCUUUUAUACGGGAAUAACAAGAGUCACGUGUGACUCCCUGCAUGUACCGUAUGAAUAAGCAUCGGCUAACUCCGUG
rnacentral:rRNA from 1 species